GCUUCUUAUGGUUUGAAUGGCUUGUGAGUGGGGCGUGUGUGUGAGAGUGUUUGGGUGAGUAAAUGUCGAGUGUUUGUGCGUGCGAGUGUGUAUUUCUGUUAAAAAAAAACCUACACAAUGAUCUUAUUUGAUCUGGUCUGAGUUUGGCUCUGCUCCGAUCAGAGAUGAUAGGAAAAGCGCCCGCGAGCCUCCGUGGCGAUGAGCAGCUGGCGAGAUGUUCAGGGCCUCCACGCUUCAUACCGUGGUCAGAGAUGAUGAAUUGAUCAGAUAUACUAGUUCUGAGUGAGUUUGGGUUCUUCUCGAGCUUCACAAUGGACAAUGAGUAUAGAGGCGAUUCUGAUCUAA
rnacentral:snoRNA from 1 species